CUCAGUGCUCAGCAAUGUGCCUGCUGGCUGUCAUCAUCAGUGUCUGUGAUGAUCGUACCUCAAUCGUCCAGGGGAUGGAUGUCUCUCCUAGAGGCUGAGAAGCACUGCCCCCGAGCUCUGUGUCCUCAGCCUGUGGAUGGAGGAUUCUCUGCUGACUGAGUUCUACGGACUCCGUUGUCUUUUUUUGACUACAGAGCAUUUUCUCUGUGACAAGUCAAAGCAAGGAUUAGCUGAAAAACAAUAGCCAAACCGUGGAAGGAGCCGAGAUGCCCUUCAACAGAUGAAUGGAUAAAGAAGAUGUGGUUCACACAUACGAUGGAAUAUUACUCAGCCAUCA